CUUAAGGAGAUAGAUCUGUGCACUCCCUAUGAUGUAGAGAACGAGUGCCUCGUGCCUGCUCUUUGGUGUUUUGUGGAUAAUCUACACAAGAUUCAUGUAGAAUCCAAGGACAUCAGCAUUAUUACUGUGAGAAUGCCCAAACGCAUUCAUAACCCCAUCUGCAAACCAUGUGAUUCUUUCAAGAAGACUGACAGACACACUUUUCUGGGUAGCAUGAAGGAACACGUGGAACAGAUUAUUCAGUUGUGAAUCUGAAGAGGAAUGCAGCUGCACAUGAAAAGACUGGACGACUAUGUUUACAAAGACACUAUUCUUAAGGUUAAACGGUUGAAAUGUAAUUAUCAUGCAUUGCAUAUUUUUGUAUUUUCUGCAAUUUUAUUUAUUUUUUGACAGCAAGGAAUUGUAUUAUUUAUUUUUUCAUAACCUUUUAAAUCACAUGCUUCUAUUUAUCACAGUGCAAGAAAAGCGGUUAUUUUGCUAAUGUUGUUUUUUGUUAAAGACAUUUUACAUUCCCAAAAAGAAUCAAAUGCAUGUGUAAUCUGACAGUGGCCAAUGCAUGCUUAGUUUACAAAGGUUACAUUUGAAAGAUUGAAAGCAUGCAAAGAAACAAUUCAAAGAAAGUUAGGCCUGCUAGGAUAGAUCUAGCUUCAUUUUUUUUGUUUUCACACAAGAUUUCUGCUUUUUGACGUGACCAUUGUCAGUAUUUGAACACUAUCUCAUUUUGCGAAAACUAUGUUUUAAUGGAAGUAAUUUAAGAUGGACUGCUCUUUUAUAGUUCGAUUUUCUGAAUUAUUUGUGUUGUGUUAUUUAUUUCUGCUGCUGGGUUGAAGAUUUGUAUUUGCAAAGAUUUGUACCUUUUUUUAUAAAAGACUGUAAAGCUUCAGAUGGAAUAAAGGACUUGUAAACUGCUCAAUGAUGGUCAGACAGUAGAAGGUGAAGUUCACUUUUUGAUUACAGUACAGACAGGUCUGAAAGUGGUUUGGUGAAUGUUAUAACCAACGUAGUGUGAUUGAAGAUUAACCCAGUACCCUCCUCUCUUUAAUUUGACUUGUCUUAAUAAGCAAGGUCAUGUAUUAUUAUCCAACUGAUUUGCAACAGUUCUUUAAAAUAUUCUAUAGUGUUGCCAAUCUCUACGUCAAUAUAUUAGCUUUGGCAGUACAAUAGAACCCUGAAGUGUUCAUAUUUCUAUUCAUAAAGAAUUUUCUAUACAUAUGGCCCCAUUUGUUUAUGUCACUGAACAUUUUGGAACUUCAGUUAAUCUUCCAAAAAAACAUCUACAGUAAGUCCAGACUCCAAGCUAUUCUGAUAUGUUUAAAAGUAGUUUUAAAAUACACUGGGAACAAAAACUUAAAAUUUAUAUUAAAUAUUUAGUUGUUCCCCAGAAAAUGCCACUGCUUCACGUAGCAUGAUCAAGGACCAUUGUUGUUCUUUUACCCUAUUUUCUGAGAUCACACCUGUCUUUAGCUAUAAAAUAAACUAAUUGAUACCUCUUAAAACAUAAUACAAUGUGCCCGUCAGCCAAUGUCCUGCCUGUUCUGUGCAUCAGCGCCAUCUACUGUGGAAUAGCACAAGCACCAGCAUGCAACUCACAUGGACCAUGUCUAUUUUUACUAUGGAGUCUUCCAGGCCUUUCUAGCUGCCUCAUAAUGAGG